UUUCUUGUUUUAAUAUUAAAGAAAAUACCAACAUACCUAAUCAAUAUCGAAUACACAGUAAAUACUUCUUUUUCAUGAAAUAAAAAAAUAAAUUAAACACGUGAAUAAUGUAUUCACUGUACAACAUUGUUCACUUUAUCCGUGAGGCCCGUGCUCCCUUACGUUCGAUCAAACAAAAUCUGCAAACGUUGACUGUGGCUGCCGAA